rnacentral:misc_RNA from 1 species
GCGUCACUUGAUGAAGGAGAAGAAACAUACUUUCAAGAACACAAAAGAUACUACAAAUGCUCAUAUUGCAAAAUUCCAACAGGAGAAAAAAAAAAAUUAAAUAAAAAAUUCACACUAGUCUUCUACAAUUUAAUCAACACGAAGGAAAUAUUUCUAUCUAAAGAUCUUAUAUUCUCCAGUCCCUGACAUCCUUUUUUCCACAAAUGGUCCACAUAAAAAGUGCUUGCAAUCCUAAUGAAUAUUUAAUCCAAGAACAUGUGGAGUUCUUCACUUCUUCCUACUCUUCUUCUUCCUAGAGGCAAAGCUGCUGGGUCCAAUUUCAAUUGACAUUCUUUUUGUCCGC